CCUACGGGAGGCUGCAGUGGUGAAUAUUGCACAAUGGGCGCAAGCCUGAUGCAGCCAUGCCGCGUGUGUGAAGAAGGCCUUCGGGUUGUAAAGCACUUUCAGCGGGGAGGAAGGCGGUGAGGUUAAUAACCUCAUCGAUUGACGUUACCCGCAGAAGAAGCACCGGCUGACUCCGUGCCAGCAGCCGCGGUAAUACGGAGGGUGCAAGCGUUAAUCGGAAUUACUGGGCGUAAAGCGCACGCAGGCGGUCUGUCAAGUCGGAUGUGAAAUCCCCGGGCUCAACCUGGGAACUGCAUUCGAAACUGGCAGGCUAGAGUCUUGUAGAGGGGGGUAGAAUUCCAGGUGUAGCGGUGAAAUGCGUAGAGAUCUGGAGGAAUACCGGUGGCGAAGGCGGCCCCCUGGACAAAGACUGACGCUCAGGUGCGAAAGCGUGGGGAGCAAACAGGAUUAGAUACCCGAGUAGUC
rnacentral:rRNA from 1 species